AGUAAAGAAAUGUUUAAGAAGCGAAAAAGAGCAAUAACAAAAGGUGGAAGCGAAAGUCAAAACCCAGCGCAGAAAGCUUCUUGGUAUAAACAGAAGCAGCCGGGAGGAGGAGCGCUAGCCCGACCAGUCGGCCCGGGAAGCUCCAGUUCGUACUCCAGAGGAACUCCGUACUGAAUCCUAAUCAGUGAGAGUUCAUCCGGAGUCAGAGAGCUGGGGAUGGUGUUCGGUACAAAGAUCGGACGAGGUUCAUCUACAGAACUAAGAUUUUGAGGGGUUGGAACGGACGAACUCCUAGAACUGCU
rnacentral:lncRNA from 1 species